GAAUAAUCUUCAGGAUGACUAACAGAAUACAGAUGCUCUCUAUAUUUCUGCGCUUAAGGAAAAUAAAAACAGGAAUCAUACUUAAAACAAAUACAAAUGUAAUUACAAAGGAUCAUGGAGAAUCGUCCCAAACGGAAUAUCAUCAAACCUCGACGAUUUCAAACGACAUCUUCGGACGAGGCGGAAGAGUCAGGAAGAAAGACGAUGGAGCUACAGGGCACUCAAUUAGAAAAGGAUGUUGCUGAGUUACGGGGAGUAUUAGAAGAGAGUCAUUCGCCCAAUACUAAUAUGCAUGCUAAUCAUUCACUCACUAACUCACAAUCAUUUACAGAGUCACUCACACAACACAAACACCUUUUAUGCAUGAAAACACAGUCAUCAUCCUACGCACAACCAUCAACAAUCACUCACACAACACAAGCAUCUUUUAUGCAUGAAAACACACAGUCAUCAUCCUACGCACAACCAUCAACAGUCACUCACACAACACAAGCACCUUUUAUGCAUGAAAACACACAGUCAUCAUCCUACGCACAACCAUUAGCAGUCACUCACACAACACAAGCACCUUUUAUACAUGAAAACACACAGUCAUCAUCCUACGCACAACCAUUAGCAGUCACUCACACAACACAAGCACCUUUUAUACAUGAAAACACACAGUCAUCAUCCUACGCACAACCAUUAGCAGUCACUCACACAACACAAGCACCUUUUAUACAUGAAAACACACAGUCAUCAUCCUACGCACAACCAUCAACAGUCACUCACACAACACAAGCACCUUUUAUGCAUGAAAACAC